GAUGAAGAACGCAGCGAAAUGCGAUAAGUAAUGUGAAUUGCAGAAUUCAGUGAAUCAUCGAAUCUUUGAACGCACAUUGCGCCCUCUGGUAUUCCGGGGGGCAUGCCUGUUCGAGCGUCAUUAUAACCACUCAAGCUCUCGCUUGGUAUUGGGGUUCGCGGUUCCGCGGCCCCUAAAAUCAGUGGCGGUGCCUGUCGGCUCUACGCGUAGUAAUACUCCUCGCGAUUGAGUCCGGUAGGUCUACUUGCCAGCAACCCCCAAUUUUUACAGGUUGACCUCGGAUCAGGUAGGGAUACCCGCUGAACUUAAGCAUAUCAAAAGCGGAGGA
rnacentral:misc_RNA from 1 species